UACGGGGGGAGCAAGCGUUGUCCGGAAUUAUUGGGCGUAAAGGGCUCGUAGGCGGUUUGUCACGUCGGGAGUGAAAACUCAGGGCUCAACCCUGAGCGUGCUUCCGAUACGGGCAGACUAGAGGUAUGCAGGGGAGAACGGAAUUCCUGGUGUAGCGGUGGAAUGCGCAGAUAUCAGGAAGAACACCCGUGGCGAAAGCGGCUCUCUGGAACGGUACUGACGCUGAGACGCGAAAGCGUGGGGAGCGAACAGG
rnacentral:rRNA from 1 species